CAGCAUGAGGAAGACCGAAAUGG
rnacentral:piRNA from 1 species